UAAAGUGAAACCGCGAAAGGCUCAUUAAAUCAGUUAUGGUUCCUUAGAUCGUACACACAUUUACUUGGAUAACUGUGGUAAUUCUAGAGCUAAUACAUGCAAACAGAUCUCUGACCGGAGACGGGAGGAGUGCUUUUAUUAGAUCAAAACCAAUCGGCGUCAGUAGCGUUUCGGCGUUUGCUGUUCGUCGCACUUUUUGGUGACUCUGAAUAACUUUUGGCUGAUCGCACGGUCUUGCACCGGCGACGCAUCUUUCAAAUGUCUGCCUUAUCAACUGUCGAUGGUAGGUUCUGCGCCUACCAUGGUUGUAACGGGUAACGGGGAAUCAGGGUUCGAUUCCGGAGAGGGAGCCUGARAAACGGCUACCACAUCCAAGGAAGGCAGCAGGCGCGCAAAUUACCCACUCCCGGCACGGGGAGGUAGUGACGAAAAAUAACGAUACGGGACUCAUCCGAGGCCCCGUAAUCGGAAUGAGUACACUUUAAAUCCUUUAACAAGGACCAAUUGGAGGGCAAGUCUAGUGCCAGCAGCCGCGGUAACUCUAGCUCCAAUAGCGUAUAUUAAAGUUGUUGCGGUUAAAAAGCUCGUAGUUGAAUUUGUGUUUCGCGCUGUCGGUUCACCGCCCGCGGUGUUUAACUGGCACGUCUCGUGAAACGUCCUGCCGGUGGAUGUGAUGACCUUUGAUCACUGCGCCCGCAUUUGUGUGACAGUGUUGUUUGUUGCGUGUGCUUCCUCACGGUUGUUACUGUACUUACACACUCCGCUCAAGUGCGCGGUUGCACGGUUCGAAUGUGUCACCAUCCGACUAAAUAAUCCUGUCGCGGUGCUCUUAAUUGAGUGUCGAGGCGGGCCGGCACAUUUACUUUGAACAAAUUAGAGUGCUCAAAGCAGGCUAAAAUUUUGCCUAAAUAUUGUGUGCAUGGAAUAAUAGAAAAGGACCUCGGUUCUAUUUUGUUGGUUUUCGGAACCCCGAGGUAAUGAUUAAUAGGGACGGAUGGGGGCAUUCGUAUUGCGACGUUAGAGGUGAAAUUCUUGGAUCGUCGCAAGACGGACAGAAGCGAAAGCAUUUGCCAAAAAUGUUUUCAUUAAUCAAGAACGAAAGUCAGAGGCUCGAAGGCGAUCAGAUACCGCCCUAGUUCUGACCAUAAACGAUGCCAGCUAGCGAUCCGCCGAUGUUCCUCCGAUGACUCGGCGGGCAGCUUACGGGAAACCAAAGAUUUUGGGUUCCGGGGGAAGUAUGGUUGCAAAGCUGAAACUUAAAGGAAUUGACGGAAGGGCACCACCAGAAGUGGAGCCUGCGGCUUAAUUUGACUCAACACGGGAAAUCUCACUAGGCCCAGACACCGGAAGGAUUGACAGAUUGAGAGCUCUUUCUUGAUUCGGUGGGUGGUGGUGCAUGGCCGCUUUUAGUUCGUGGAACGAUUUGUCUGAUUAAUUUCGAUAACGGACGAGAUUCUAGCCUGCUAACUAGGCGUUACUUACCGGUAUCCUGAAGGCUCGUGCCUCUCGUUUUCUGGCCGUGCAUAUGUUGUAGGGUUGGUGCGGUUGCGUUCAGUUUCGGCUGACGCGCCCACUGCCGUACGCUGUGUACGUUCGGUACGAGUGUGUUACGGUUUUUACUACCGGCGUACAUAUAUAUCUUCUUAGAGGGACAAACGACGAUAAGUCGUACGAGAUUGAGCAACAACAGGUCUGUAAUGCCCUUAGAUGUUCUGGGCCGCACGCGCGCUACACUGAAGGAAUCAACGUGUUUUCCCUGUCCGUACGGACCGGGUAACCCGCUGAAACUCCUUCGUGCUAGGGAUUGGGGCUUGCAAUUGUUCCCCAUGAACGAGGAAUUUCCAGUAAGCGCGAGUCAUAAGCUCGCGUUGAUUAAGUCCCUGCCCUUUGUACACACCGCCCGUCGCUAUUACCGAUUGAAUGAUUUAGUGAGGUCUUCGGACUGGUACGCGGCGGCGUUUCGACAUCGCC
rnacentral:rRNA from 1 species